AGUGAACGCUGGCGGUAGGCCUAACACAUGCAAGUCGAACGGCAGCACAGUAAGAGCUUGCUCUUACGGGUGGCGGGUGGCGGACGGGUGAGGAAUACAUCGGAAUCUACUUUUUCGUGGGGGAUAACGUAGGGAAACUUACGCUAAUACCGCAUACGACCUACGGGUGAAAGCAGGGGAUCUUCGGACCUUGCGCGAUUGAAUGAGCCGAUGUCGGAUUAGCUAGUUGGCGGGGUAAAGGCCCACCAAGGCGACGAUCCGUAGCUGGUCUGAGAGGAUGAUCAGCCACACUGGAACUGAGACACGGUCCAGACUCCUACGGGAGGCAGCAGUGGGGAAUAUUGGACAAUGGGCGCAAGCCUGAUCCAGCCAUACCGCGUGGGUGAAGAAGGCCUUCGGGUUGUAAGGCCCUCUUGUUGGGAAAGAAAAGCAGCAGGUUAAUACCCCGCUGUUCUGACGGUACCCAAAGAAUAAGCACCGGCUAACUUCGUG
rnacentral:rRNA from 1 species